AUCUUGUCUUUGUGAAAUGCAUACAAGUUUUCAACAUGUUCUCUCAUUGAAUGAGCAAACAUGUUGCAAACUUUCUUGCACAUAACUUAAUUUUUUUUAAGUUUUAAAGUUGUAUGUACUUAAGGACAAAUCUAGUAAACUGUAGCAUUUUUUUUUUGCCUGACAACUUUCCAUUUCUAAACUGUAAAUAAAGUUUAAUAAUUUUUAUAUAUAGUAUUUUGCUUGUGGCUUUCUACUGAAAUUUGCAGUUUACAACAUAAGCUUUAAAAAAUAAAAGAGCAAAUACCAAUAUAAAGGAAUAUAGACAUUCGAGAGGAGAAUAAAGAUACUAAAUAACUAGUAAUGUCUUGAAAUUUAGUUAAUAGAAUGAUUUUUAUUUCCUUUAUAAGUAUUUAACUAAUUUAAUGUUUUAAUACAUAUUUCAAUAACAUUUAUAAUAACUUGCUAAAUGUUUAAAAAUAAUAACAAAUAACCAACUUGCGACAAAAACAGAUUGAUCGGUUUUGGGUAUAUUCUAAAUACCAUUAUGUAUAUAAAUACAGUGUUUACAAGAGUAAUUACAGUAUAAAGGUUGCACUUGCUGAUAAUAAAGCAUUUAUAAGUGUUAAAAUCAAAGUUAUCCGUUGUAAAAUAGGACAUUUUUAAAAAAACCCAGAUAUAUUUUGGGUUUUUUUGGGUUUUAUUGGGUUUUUUUAAGGUGGGUUUUUUUGGGUUUUUUUGGGUUGGGUUUUUUUGCCAACCCUAAUGCCAUCUAUAUCAUGUGAUGUAACACUGACUGCUAUCACUUUAAAAAAAACAGUUAGUUAAAGUCUUCUUCAAUCUGUUUCACUCGUUUAGUACGAAUCAGCAGUGAACUUAUACAGAAAUUAUCAAACAAGUUGGAAGACUGAAAACUUUGAUACACUCAAAAAGUCACUUUUCAAGUUUAAUUAUUUCCUUUCGAAAUUGAAUAUACAAUCAAUACCAAAUUAGAGUCACAAAGUAAAUUUAACUUUCUUAAAGCAAUAUUUUAAAUAAAAAAAAUUUAGAAAA